rnacentral:lncRNA from 1 species
GGGGUGCACAGGCCGGGCGAGCUGUCCGCGCUCUGGGCCGCCGCCUCCGGAACUCCCUGCGCCUGGCGCGCGGCCACCGUGGUCCCGGCAACGGCAUUAAACAGAGGGAAACAGACCCGGGAUUCCGUCACCCGGGCGGGGGGAUAAGGAGGGCUUUGAGAGCAGACAGGAAAAGGGAGCUUUUCUGCAUGGGGUGAAAAAAUUAUUUAUUGAAGGAGGAGGAGGAGGCAGCGGAGGAAGGGGAGGGGCGGGAGGAGGAGGAAGAGCCGGCCGCCCCCGCCCCGUCCCCGGCCCCUCAGUAGCCAAGGGCAGCCUCGCCAGGUCGGUCCCGGGCUCGAGGCCCGCCGCUGGGGUCGGGGGGCUCAGUAUCCCACGUGACCGACUGGGCGCGCCCCGCCAGACCUGGCCUCGGGAUUCCCUCCUCCCGGCGAGUCUCCGCCCGCCCCGUCCUGGAGCCAACAAGAAAAUGCGGUGCAGUGUUGGCAGCUGAGCUGAGCCCGAGGAGACGCAGGGAGACGUGACAGAGGAAAGUGUGAGUUGCCGGGGGGCCCUCCCCCCGUCAGAAGCCUCCCAGUCGCGCCCACAAAACGCCCGCCCUCCGGGCGGCUAGGGCAGGUGAGCGCGUCCCUCGGCCUCCCCACGCCGGCCCCUGCCACAGGCCGUCUGGGUCGCGCAGAUAUUUACAGAAUAAAAAUGACAAUAACUCGACGCCCGGGACGGCCACGCAAUCUGUUAGCAAUUUAGCGGGAUGGGAAUUUCCUUUCUAGGGCCUGCCAGUGAAGCGCUUUUCCAAAUUUCCACAGCGGGGGAAGCCUGCGAUUUUACAUAAUGACUUCAGCAUGCCGGGCUUUCUCCGCACCCCUCCCCUGCCCCCGCCCCCGCCCCCCGCCCCUUUUCCAGCAGGGCCGGGCUCUCUCCGGACACCCGCGUGGACUCAGGCGUCCCGUCUGGCCCGUUCGCCCCCGUUUCCCCCGCCAGCCCCA